rnacentral:rRNA from 1 species
CCUCUAAUCAGUGAAACUGAUCUCCCCGUGAAGAAGCGGGGAUAUACAUAUAAGACGAGAAGACCCCAUGGAGCUUUAAACCUGACAGCACCCGCUCAUUCUAUACCCCAUUAUUUGCCCGACCCCUGUCUGCUCAGUUUUAGGUUGGGGUGACCACGGAGUAUAAAAUAACCUCCAUGAAGAAGGGGAUAUUUCCCUUAUUAGAGAACCACACUUCCAAGAACUAAUAAAUUAAUUUUCAAUGACCCGAUACCCGAUAAUCGAUCAACGAACCAAGUUACCCUGGGGAUAACAGCGCAAUCCACCCUGAAAGCCCUUAUUAACAGGUGGGUUUACGACCUCGAUGUUGGAUCAGGGUAUCCCC